rnacentral:rRNA from 1 species
CCUACGGGUGGCAGCAGUGGGGAAUAUUGCACAAUGGGGGAAACCCUGAUGCAGCAACGCCGCGUGAAGGAAGACGGUUUUCGGAGUGUAAACUUCUGUUCAUAGUGAAGAAGAAUGACGGUAGCUAAGGAGCAAGCCACGGCUAACUACGUGCCAGCAGCCGCGGUAAGACGGAGGUGGCAAGCGUUGUCCGGAAUUACUGGGUGUAAAGGGAGCGCAGGCGGGAAGCCAAGUCAGCGGUGAAAACUACGGGCUUAACUUGUAGACUGCAGUUGAAACUGGUUUUCUUGAGUGAAGUAGAGGUUGGCGGAAUUCCGAGUGUAGCGGUGAAAUGCGUAGAUAUUCGGAGGAACACCGGUGGCGAAGGCGGCCCACUGGGCUUUAACUGACGCUGAGGCUCGAAAGUGUGGGGAGCAAACAGGAUUAGAUACCCCUGUAGUC